CGAGAGCCGGCGCGCGGCCCCUUGGAGCGCUGCGGCUUCUGGGGCCGCGAGCCCAUCAGGGUGACGAUCUCCUCGACGGCUCGCACC
rnacentral:tRNA from 1 species